UACGGGGGGGGCAAGCGUUGUUCGGAAUUAUUGGGCGUAAAGAGCUCGUAGGCGGCUUGUUGCGUCAGCUGUGAAAACCCGCAGCUCAACUGUGGGCUUGCAGCUGAUACGGGCAGGCUUGAGUUCGGUAGGGGAGACUGGAAUUCCUGGUGUAGCGGUGAAAUGCGCAGAUAUCAGGAGGAACACCGGUGGCGAAGGCGGGUCUCUGGACAGUUCCUGACACUGAGGCACGAAGGCCAGGGGAGCAAACGGG
rnacentral:rRNA from 1 species